rnacentral:rRNA from 1 species
UACGAAGGGGGCUAGCGUUGUUCGGAAUUACUGGGCGUAAAGGGCGCGCAGGCGGCCCUCCAAGUCAGGCGUGAAAGCCCCGGGCUCAACCCGGGAACAGCGCUUGAGACUGGGGGGCUUGAGUUCGGGAGAGGAGAGUGGAAUUCCCAGUGUAGAGGUGAAAUUCGUAGAUAUUGGGAAGAACACCGGUGGCGAAGGCGGCUCUCUGGACCGUAACUGACGCUGAGGCGCGAAAGCGUGGGGAGCAAACAGG